UGCCCCCACUCCACCCUUCUGCCUAUCAACUAACCCCAGGGCCAGUCCUGUACCCCUCCACCCCAGGGCCAGUCCUGUACCCCUAGCCCCAGGUCCAGUCCUGUACCCCUCCACCCCAGGUCCAGUCCUGUACCCCUAGCCCCAGGUCCAGUCCUGUACCCCUAGCCCCAGGUCCAGUCCUGUAACCCCCUAGCCCCAGGUCCAGUCCUGUACCCCAGCCCCAGGGCCAGUCCUGUACCCCUCCACCCCAGGGCCAGUCCUGUACCCCUCCACCCCAGGGCCAGUCCUGUACCCCUCCACCCCAGGUCCAGUCCUGUACCCCUAGCCCCUCCACCCCAGGGCCAGUCCUGUACCCCUCCACCCCAGGUCCAGUCCUGUACCCCUAGCCCCAGGUCCAGUCCUGUACCCCUAGCCCCAGGUCCAGUCCCUGUACCCCUAGCCCCUCCACCCCAGGGCCAGUCCUGUACCCCUAGCCCCUCCACCCCAGGGCCAGUCCUGUACCCCUCCACCCCAGGGCCAGUCCUGUACCCCUCCACCCCAGGGCCAGUCCUGUACCCUCCACCCCAGGUCCAGUCCUGUACCCCUCCACCCCAGGGCCAGUCCUGUACCCAGUCCUGUACCCCUAGCUCCUCCACCCCAGGGCCAGUCCUGUACCCCUCCACCCCAGGGCCAG